GGUGAAUAUUGGCCCAUUCCUCCUGACAGAGCUGGUGUAACUGAGUCAGGUUAGUAGGCCUCCUUGCUCAGACACGUUUUCUUUUUCAGUUCUUGUCCACAAAUAUUCUGUGGGAUUGAGGUCAGGGCUUUGUGAUGGCCACUCCAAUACCUUGACUUUCUUAAGCCAUUUUGCCGCAACUUUGGAAGUAUGCUUGGGGUCAUUGUCCAUUUGGAAGACCCAUUUUCGACCAAGCUUUAACUUCCCGACUGAUGUCUUGAGAUGUUGCUUCAAUAUAUCCACAUAAUUUUCCAUCCUCAUGAUGCCAUCUAUUUUGUGAAGUGCACCAGUCCCUCCUGCAGCAAAGCACACCCACAACAUGAUGCUGCUACCCCCGUGCUUCACUGUUGGGAUGGUGUUCUUCAGCUUGCAAGCCUCCCCCUUUUAAUAACAAUGGUCAUUAUGGCCAAACAGUUCUAUUUUUGUUUCAUCAGACCAGAGGACAUUUCUCCAAAAAGUAAACUGUAGUCUGACUUUUUUUAUGGCGGUUUUGGAGCAGUGACUUCUUCCUUGCUGAGCAGCCUUUCAGGUUAUGUCGAUAUAGAACAUGUUUUACUGUAGAUAUAGAUACUUUUGUACCUGUUUCCUCCAGCAUCUUCACAAGGUCCUUUGCUGUUGUUCUGCGAUUGAUUUCUACUUUUCGCACCAAAGUACGUUCAUCUCUAGGAGACAGAACGCGUCUCCUUCCUGAGCGGUAUGACGGCUGCGUGGUCCCAUGGUGUUUAUACUUGCGUACUAUUGUUUGUACAGAUUAAUGUGGUACCUUCAGCCAUUUGGAAAUUGCUCCCAAGGAUGAACCAGACUUGUGGAGGUCUGAAAUUUAUUUUCUGAGGUCUUGGCUGAUUUCUUUUGAUUUCCGCAUGAUGUCAAGCAAAGAGGCACUGAAUUUGAAGGUAAGCCUUGAAAUACAUCCACAGGUACACCUCCAAUUGACUCAAAUGAUGUCAAUUCGCCUAUCAGAAACUUCUAAAGCCACAUCAUUUUCUGGAAUUUUCCAAGCUGUUUAAAGGCACAGUCAACUUAGUGUAUGUAAACUUCUGACCCACUGGAAUUGUGAUACAGUGAAUUAUAAGUGAAAUAAUCUGUCUGUAAACAAUUGUUGGAAAAAUUACUUGUAAUUUUUAUUAGAUGUCCUAACCAACUUGCCAAAACUAUAGUUUGUUAACAAGAAAUAUGUGGAGUGGUUGAACAUUUUGUUUUAAUGACUCCAAGCUAAGUGUAUGUAAACUUCUGACUUCAACUGUAUAUAUAACCUGAAUGUGUAGAUGUAUGGUGACUUCACGUUUGGGUGAACGGACCAACGGAACUGCCAUGGUCAAGUCCCUUGACAGGUACCAGGAAUGGUGGAAGGAGGAAAAUCUGAAGGUCACUGAUACUCCACCUGAUGUGGAAGUUGUCAAACCAGAUCAGAAUGCCUUCGAAGUCCACUUUCAGGAUGGAUGUGGAGGUUUUUGACCAGGUGAGACUGAACAUGGACCGGGCGCAUGAGAAAAAGGAGAGCCACCUGAGAAGAAUCAAGGGGACCAAGUGCUUCAACAUCUGGGUGAAUUACUUGGCUUGGAAGAAGGACGAAAGGAAGGCGAGACCCAGGAAAGACCAUCCCUUACCAACCCCACUGACAUCAAAAAUUAGACAGGACCUAGGGAUUCUGCCUAACACCCAGACAUGAUGUCCUCCAUUACCAACCACCCUCCAACUUUUCAUUACACCAGUUACUGUUAUUGUCAAGUUGUCAUUAUCUGCUAAGAAAGAGCAAAACAACUAUCAUACUGGGCACAUACUGUGAGGUGCACAGAUUAGCUAAAAACACUAGCACUGCAAACACUCAGAACAAAGAGAGCAGCAGCGCCUCUUUGAGUUCACUACCUGUUGAAAACAAGUGACAGGCAGAACCUCCCAUCCACACAAGACCCACCCACCUCCUCUCUAUUCCACACACCAUAAUUAUGUAUUUCAGUCUGAUUGCCAUGUGACUGUACAAAAAAUCUGAAAGUAAAUUGACACAUGUACCAAAAAAAUAUCAAUGGUUAUGUUUUUAAAUCUAAAAUAUUGCUAGAUUGGUUUUCACAGCUGUUUCAUAAGGUGUUCAUUGUUGUAAAUUGUAACAUCUCUUGAUGGUAUUUGUUAGUUCAACAUUAUUAAUUGUAUCAUAAGACAUCCAAUAUAUAUAUAUUCAAACACAAGGGUGUUCUAAUGAGCUAUGAUUUAAAAAAUAAUAAUUGUAUCAAUAUUGAGGACUAAAGUUAUUUCAGUGUAGGUAAGGGAAUGCCUGUUUAAAAUGAAUACAUGCCAGCCAGAUAAGCCAGUGUAUGAAUCAAAUGUAUUUGCUUAUGAAUGGAAUGGAAAUUGGUUCACUUUGUGAUCUGUAAGGUAAGUAACAUUAAUGUAUGUGGGGGGCAUUGGAAUUAUAUUAUGUUUAUCCUGAUGCCUGUUUA